rnacentral:rRNA from 1 species
UUAAGCUAAUAAGAGCGCAGGGUGGAUGCCUUGGCACUAAGAGCCGAAGAAAGACGUGAUAAGCUGCGAAAAGCUGCGGGGAGGAGCAAAUGUCCAUUGAUCCGCAGAUGUCUGAAUGGGGAAACCCGUCUGGAAGAACUCCAGUCACUGCAUGUUGAAUACAUAGGCAUGCAGGGGGAACCCGGUGAACUGAAACAUCUAAGUAGCCGGAGGAAAAGAAAGAAAAAUCGAUUUCCAAAGUAGCGGCGAGCGAAAUGGAAGGAGCCCAAACCGGGAUGCGUGCAUUCCGGGGUUAUGGACCGCAAGAAGUGACCCGUAAGAUAGAAGAAUGGCAUUGGGAAAGCCAGCCACAGAGGGUGAAAGCCCCGUAUUCGAAAUCAGAAGGAGCGAGCGGAAUCCGAAGUACUACGAGACACGUGGAACCUUGUAGGAAAUCGGGGGGACCACCCCCCAAGGCUAAAUACUCCUUAGUGACCGAUAGCGCAUAGUACUGUGAAGGAACGGUGAAAAGAACCCCGGGAGGGGAGUGAAAGAGAACCUGAAACCCUGUGUUUACAAGCUGUGGAAGAGCUUUACAUGCUCAACCGCGUACUUUUUGUAGAACGGUCCGGCGAGUUACUCUUACUGGCAAGGUUAAGCACCAAAGGUGUGGAGCCGAAGGGAAACCAAGUCUUAACAGGGCGAGUUAGUCAGUGUGAGUAGACCCGAAACCGGGUGACCUACCCAUGUCCAGGAUGAAGUUGCCGUAAAAGGCAAUGGAGGUCCGAACACACAUCCGUUGAAAAGGGUGGUGAUGAGGUGUGGGUAGCGGAGAAAUUCCAAUCGAACCCGGAGAUAGCUGGUUCUCCUCGAAAUAGCUUUAGGGCUAGCCUCAAUUUAGUCUUGCGGAGGUAGAGCACUGAAUAUCCUAGGGGGCGUCAAAGCUUACCGAAGAUUAUCAAACUCCGAAUGCCGUAAAGAUGAUGAUUGGGAGUCAGACUGCACGAGAUAAGUUGGGUAGUCAAAAGGGAAACAGCCCAGACCUCCAGCUAAGGUCCCAAAGUGAGUGUUAAGUGGAAAAGGAUGUGGGAUUUCGAAGACAACUAGGAUGUUGGCUCAGAAGCAGCCAUUCAUUCAAAGAGUGCGUAAUAGCUCACUAGUCGAGAGGUCCUGCGCCGAAAAUGUCCGGGGCUAAACACUACACCGAAGCUGAGGAAUGACAAUGUCAUUGGUAGAGGAGCAUUCUUAACUGCGACGAAGCUGUACCGAAAGGAGCAGUGGAGUGUUAAGAAGAGAGAAUGCCGGAAUGAGUAGCGAGAGUGAGGUGAGAAUCCUCACGGCCGAAUAUCUAAGGUUUCCAGGGUAAAGCUGAUCUGCCCUGGGUAAGUCGGGACCUAAGGCGAGGUCGAAAGACGUAGUCGAUGGACAACAGGUUGAAAUUCCUGUACUGCAAUGUAUCAGAAAUGUGGGGACACAGACAGAGAGCCGGAGCCGGGAAUGGAGAAACCGGUGCAAGCGGGGUAGGAGAACAGCAGGCAAAUCCGCUGUUCAAUCCAAAGACGUGACGCGGAGUGAAAUUAAAGUAGCGAAGCCGGUGAGCUGGCUGUCAGGAAAAGCCGCUAUUGUGUACAUUGUACCCGUACCGUAAACCGACACAGGUGGAUGAGGAGAGAAUCCUAAGGCCGACGGAAGAAGCAUUGUUAAGGAACUCGGCAAAAUGGCCCCGUAACUUCGGGAUAAGGGGUGCCUACGAAGGUAGGCCGCAGAGAAUUGGCCCAAGCAACUGUUUAGCAAAAACACAGGUCUAUGCGAAACCGUAAGGUGAUGUAUAUGGGCUGACGCCUGCCCGGUGCUGGAAGGUUAAGGGGAGAGGUUAGACAUGAGUCGAAGCCUUGAACUUAAGCCCCAGUAAACGGCGGCCGUAACUAUAACGGUCCUAAGGUAGCGAAAUUCCUUGUCGGGUAAGUUCCGACCCGCACGAAAGGCGUAAUGAUUUGGGCACUGUCUCGACAAUGCAUCCGGUGAAAUUGAAGUACCAGUGAAGAUGCUGGUUACCUGCGCCAGGACGGAAAGACCCCAUGGAGCUUUACUCUAUCUUGAUACUGGGAUUCCAUAUUGCAUGUACAGGAUAGGUGGGAGACUAAGAGACAUGAACGCCAGUUUGUGUGGAGUCGCCCUUGGGAUACCACCCUUGCAAUAUUGGGUUUCUAACAUGCAGCCGUGAUCCGGCUGGUGGACAAUGUCAGGUGGGGAGUUUGACUGGGGCGGUCGCCUCCGAAAGGAUAUCCGAAGCGCUCAAAGGUUCCCUCAUAAUGAUCGGAAACCAUUCGAAGAGUGCAUUGGCACAAGGGAGCUUGACUGUGACACCGACGGGUGGAGCAUCCACGAAAGUCGGAUAUAUUGAUCCCGUAUAUAAUGUGGAUUGGCAUCCCUCGACGGAAACAGAUACCUGAUGUAUCAUGUAUUUUAUCACUCACAUAGUUCACAUAGACGGAUCCUAUGGUUUCUUACAUGACCGGAUGAUCCCUUCACGGAUCAUUCAUUAGAUACGAAAGUGGAUUAUCGAUCAGACAAUUGG